rnacentral:rRNA from 1 species
UACAGAGGGGGCAAGCGUUGUUCGGAAUUACUGGGCGUAAAGGGCGCGUAGGCGGCCUUCUAAGUCGAACGUGAAAUCCCUGGGCUCAACCCAGGAACUGCGUCCGAUACUGGAAGGCUUGAGUUUGGGAGAGGGACGCGGAAUUCCAGGUGUAGCGGUUAAAUGCGUAGAUAUCUGGAGGAACACCGGUGGCGAAGGCGGCGUCCUGGACCAACACUGACACUGAGGAGCGAAAGCCAGGGGAGCAAACGGG